GGGAGGUAGUGACAAUAAAUAACAAUACGGGGUUCUUUAGGAUUUCGUAAUUGGAAUGAGUACAAUUUAAAUCUCUUAACGAGGAACAAUUGGAGGGCAAGUCUGGUGCCAGCAGCCGCGGUAAUUCCAGCUCCAAUAGCGUAUAUUAAAGUUGUUGCAGUUAAAAAGCUCGUAGUUGAAUUUCGGGAUCAGUAUGUUGGUCGUGCUUCGGUACGUACUGUCAUUACUGGUUUCUCCCUUCUGAAGAACCUUGAUGUCAUUAAUUUGGCGCCUUGGGGAAUCAGGACUGUUACUUUGAAAAAAUUAGAGUGUUUAAAGCAGGCUAACGCUUGAAUACAUUAGCAUGGAAUAAUGAAAUAGGACGUUCGAUCUUAUUUUGUUGGUUUCUAAGAUUGACGUAAUGAUUAAUAGGGAUAGUUGGG
rnacentral:rRNA from 1 species